GAUGAGCGCUGGCGGCGUGCCUAAUACAUGCAAGUCGAGCGAACGGACGAGAAGCUUGCUUCUCUGAUGUUAGCGGCGGACGGGUGAGUAACACGUGGAUAACCUACCUAUAAGACUGGGAUAACUUCGGGAAACCGUAGCUAAUACCGGAUAAUAUUUUGAACCGCAUGGUUCAAAAGUGAAAGACGGUCUUGCUGUCACUUAUAGAUGGAUCCGCGCUGCAUUAGCUAGUUGGUAAGGUAACGGCUUACCAAGGCAACGAUGCAUAGCCGACCUGAGAGGGUGAUCGGCCACACUGGAACUGAGACACGGUCCAGACUCCUACGGGAGGCAGCAGUAGGGAAUCUUCCGAAAUGGGCGAAAGCCUGACGGAGCAACGCCGCGUGAGUGAUGAAGGUCUUCGGAUCGUAAAACUCCGUUAUUAGGGAAGAACAUAUGUGUAAGUAACUGUGCACAUCUUGACGGUACCUAAUCAGAAAGCCACGGCUAACUACGUG
rnacentral:rRNA from 1 species